GCGGGAGUAGUGUAACGGCAUCACGUUUCCUUGCCAAGGAAAAGAUUGCGGGUUCGAAUCCCGUCUCCCGCU
rnacentral:tRNA from 1 species